rnacentral:tRNA from 1 species
GCGGACGUGGCGAAAUUUAGAAAACGCGCUACUUUGAGGGGGUAGUGGGAGUUUAUCCUUUGUGGGUGCAAGUCCCACCGUCCGCA